rnacentral:rRNA from 1 species
UACAGAGGGGGCAAGCGUUAUUCGGAAUUAUUGGGCGUAAAGGGCGCGUAGGCGGCCUGGCAAGUGGAAGGUGAAAUCCCUCGGCUUAACCGAGGAACUGCCCUCCAAACUGCUUGGCUUGAGUCCGGGAGAGGUGAGUGGAGUUCCCAGUGUAGCGGUGAAAUGCGUAGAUAUUGGGAGGAACACCAGUGGCGAAGGCGGCUCACUGGACCAGAACUGACGCUGAGGCGCGAAAGCGUGGGUAGCAAACAGG